rnacentral:misc_RNA from 1 species
AAAAUGUGAUAAGUCAUGUGAAUUGCAACUAUCAGUGAAUCAUCGAAUAUUUGAACGCACCACGCACUUUGAACUUAAUCCUUCAAAGUAUAUCUGUUUGAGUGUCACAAACAAUUAUAAUCAAUAUGAAGUGAGACCUCAUUGUGUUUCACAUACGUUGGACAUUGAGCUUUUUAGAUAACUAAAUAGCUUUGAAUACAUAGAGUACUAUCAUUAAUCUCUAAGCUGAGGAUUUGUUAAAUCAAGUCUCACAUGGAUUUGAUAGCUUAACUCCAUAAUAAGACAAAUACCAUAAAUAUGACAUCAAAUCAGGUAAGGUUACCCGCUGAAUUUAA